UAAUGCAUUUCCUUUCUGAAGAUAUAAAGUUCGGAAAGAUUCAAUACAAUUCCGAAUAGAAGAAGAAUAUUCCUAAACCAAAAAUCAUGGAAAACUUAUUUUCCUAUUUGAGUGUUUUUAUGAUCAUGUUUAUGCUUUUACAGACAGGAAUACGAUCACAGCAAACUAUUCACUACAAGAGACCAUAUCAGCAUAGAUUACAACUUCCACCGCAUCACAUUGCCAAUAUGUUAAAAAAAUAAAUGUAAGAUCUUUGGGUGUUUAUAUGUAUUAUUGUUCACCUACCAGUAAAAUAAAUAACUUUUCUUGUA